GUGUGGCAUCUCUCUGAACCCCCCCGACUGUCCGAGCUUACAUAAUACCAUCCGAACUUCUCCAACAAUGAGCUUCUCCAUCCAUCUACCGGGCCGCUCCAAAGGCUCUCUGGGCCUCACUAUCAGCCGACCUUCUACAGUGAUCAACUAUUCUCCAAACUUCUUCUGGACUUUAUCAAUAUUCGAGCUUCUCCGACAAUGAGAUUUCUACAGUAA
rnacentral:lncRNA from 1 species